rnacentral:rRNA from 1 species
GGGUUGUGAGGUUAAGCGACUAAGCGUACACGGUGGAUGCCCUGGCAGUCAGAGGCGAUGAAGGACGUGCUAAUCUGCGAAAAGCGUCGGUAAGGUGAUAUGAACCGUUACAGCCGGCGAUGUCCGAAUGGGGAAACCCAGUGCAAUUCGUUGCACUAUCGUUAACUGAAUACAUAGGUUAACGAGGCGAACCGGGGGAACUGAAACAUCUAAGUACCCCGAGGAAAAGAAAUCAACCGAGAUUCCCCCAGUAGCGGCGAGCGAACGGGGAGCAGCCCAGAGUCUGAAUCAGCUUGUGUGUUAGUGGAACGGUCUGGAAAGUCCGACGGUACAGGGUGAUAGUCCCGUACACCAAAAUGCACAGGCUGUGAACUCGAAGAGUAGGGCGGGACACGUGGUAUCCUGUCUGAAUAUGGGGGGACCAUCCUCCAAGGCUAAAUACUCCUGACUGACCGAUAGUGAACCAGUACCGUGAGGGAAAGGCGAAAAGAACCCCGGCGAGGGGAGUGAAAAAGAACCUGAAACCGUGUACGUACAAGCAGUGGGAGCACCUUCGGGUGUGACUGCGUACCUUUUGUAUAAUGGGUCAGCGACUUAUAUUCUGUAGCAAGGUUAACCGUAUAGGGGAGCCGCAGGGAAACCGAGUCUUAACUGGGCGUUAAGUUGCAGGGUAUAGACCCGAAACCCGGUGAUCUAGCCAUGGGCAGGUUGAAGGUUGGGUAACACUAACUGGAGGACCGAACCGACUAAUGUUGAAAAAUUAGCGGAUGACUUGUGGCUGGGGGUGAAAGGCCAAUCAAACCGGGAGAUAGCUGGUUCUCCCCGAAAGCUAUUUAGGUAGCGCCUCGUGAAUUCAUCUUCGGGGGUAGAGCACUGUUUCGGCUAGGGGGUCAUCCCGACUUACCAACCCGAUGCAAACUACGAAUACCGAAGAAUGUUAUCACGGGAGACACACGGCGGGUGCUAACGUCCGUCGUGAAGAGGGAAACAACCCAGACCGCCAGCUAAGGUCCCAAAGUCAUGGUUAAGUGGGAAACGAUGUGGGAAGGCACAGACAGCCAGGAUGUUGGCUUAGAAGCAGCCAUCAUUUAAAGAAAGCGUAAUAGCUCACUGGUCGAGUCGGCCUGCGCGGAAGAUGUAACGGGGCUAAACCAUGCACCGAAGCUGCGGCAGCGACACUAUGUGUUGUUGGGUAGGGGAGCGUUCUGUAAGCCUGCGAAGGUGUGCUGUGAGGCAUGCUGGAGGUAUCAGAAGUGCGAAUGCUGACAUAAGUAACGAUAAAGCGGGUGAAAAGCCCGCUCGCCGGAAGACCAAGGGUUCCUGUCCAACGUUAAUCGGGGCAGGGUGAGUCGACCCCUAAGGCGAGGCCGAAAGGCGUAGUCGAUGGGAAACAGGUUAAUAUUCCUGUACUUGGUGUUACUGCGAAGGGGGGACGGAGAAGGCUAUGUUAGCCGGGCGACGGUUGUCCCGGUUUAAGCAUGUAGGCUGGUUGUCCAGGCAAAUCCGGAUAAUCAAGGCUGAGGUGUGAUGACGAGGCACUACGGUGCUGAAGUAACAAAUGCCCUGCUUCCAGGAAAAGCCUCUAAGCAUCAGGUAACAUCAAAUCGUACCCCAAACCGACACAGGUGGUCAGGUAGAGAAUACCAAGGCGCUUGAGAGAACUCGGGUGAAGGAACUAGGCAAAAUGGUGCCGUAACUUCGGGAGAAGGCACGCUGGUGUGUAGGUGAAGCCCCUGCGGGUGGAGCUGAGACCAGUCGAAGAUACCAGCUGGCUGCAACUGUUUAUUAAAAACACAGCACUGUGCAAACACGAAAGUGGACGUAUACGGUGUGACGCCUGCCCGGUGCCGGAAGGUUAAUUGAUGGGGUUAUCCGUAAGGAGAAGCUCUUGAUCGAAGCCCCGGUAAACGGCGGCCGUAACUAUAACGGUCCUAAGGUAGCGAAAUUCCUUGUCGGGUAAGUUCCGACCUGCACGAAUGGCGUAAUGAUGGCCAGGCUGUCUCCACCCGAGACUCAGUGAAAUUGAACUCGCUGUGAAGAUGCAGUGUACCCGCGGCAAGACGGAAAGACCCCGUGAACCUUUACUAUAGCUUGACACUGAACAUUGAGCCUUGAUGUGUAGGAUAGGUGGGAGGCUUUGAAGCGUGGACGCCAGUCUGCGUGGAGCCAACCUUGAAAUACCACCCUUUAAUGUUUGAUGUUCUAACGUUGGCCCCUGACCGGGGUUGCGGACAGUGUCUGGUGGGUAGUUUGACUGGGGCGGUCUCCUCCUAAAGCGUAACGGAGGAGCACGAAGGUUAGCUAAUCCUGGUCGGACAUCAGGAGGUUAGUGCAAUGGCAUAAGCUAGCUUGACUGCGAGCGUGACGGCGCGAGCAGGUGCGAAAGCAGGUCAUAGUGAUCCGGUGGUUCUGAAUGGAAGGGCCAUCGCUCAACGGAUAAAAGGUACUCCGGGGAUAACAGGCUGAUACCGCCCAAGAGUUCAUAUCGACGGCGGUGUUUGGCACCUCGAUGUCGGCUCAUCACAUCCUGGGGCUGAAGUAGGUCCCAAGGGUAUGGCUGUUCGCCAUUUAAAGUGGUACGCGAGCUGGGUUUAGAACGUCGUGAGACAGUUCGGUCCCUAUCUGCCGUGGGCGCUGGAGAAUUGAGGGGGGCUGCUCCUAGUACGAGAGGACCGGAGUGGACGCAUCACUGGUGUUCGGGUUGUCAUGCCAAUGGCACUGCCCGGUAGCUAAAUGCGGAAGAGAUAAGUGCUGAAAGCAUCUAAGCACGAAACUUGCCCCGAGAUGAGUUCUCCCUGAGACUUUAAGUCUCCUGAAGGAACGUUGAAGACGACGACGUUGAUAGGCCGGGUGUGUAAGCGCAGCGAUGCGUUGAGCUAACCGGUACUAAUGAACCGUGAGGCUUAACCUUACAACGCCGAAG